GUGGUUCAAGAUCUAGUUGACUCCGCUUUCUUUAGCUUGAUACUAUUAACAUUGAGUGAAGUUAAGUCAUGAAAAAUAUUUUACCUAUUGCACAAUAUAUAUCCCCAACAAAAAAUUAUUUCACAUUAUUAAAUUUAUAGAUUUUAUUUAUUUUCAAAAUUUUAAUUUUUGAGAGGGAUUAUUGGUGUUUUGGAAGGAAUUGAAAAUUC
rnacentral:lncRNA from 1 species